UGGGGAAUAUUGCACAAUGGGGGAAACCCUGAUGCAGCGACGCCGCGUGAGCGAAGAAGGCUUUCGAGUCGUAAAGCUCUGUCCUAUGAGAAGAUAAUGACGGUAUCAUAGGAGGAAGCCCUGGCUAAAUACGUGCCAGCAGCCGCGGUAAUACGUAUGGGGCGAGCGUUGUCCGGAAUUAUUGGGCGUAAAGGGUACGUAGGCGGUUUUUUAAGUCAGGUGUCAAAGCGUGGAGCUUAACUCCAUUAAGCACUUGAAACUGAAAGACUUGAGUGAAGGAGAGGAAAGUGGAAUUCAUAGUGUAGCGGUGAAAUGCGUAGAGAUUAGGAAGAACACCGGUGGCGAAGGCGACUUUCUGGACGACAACUGACGCUUAGGCGCGAAAGCGUGGGGAGCAAACAGG
rnacentral:rRNA from 1 species